UAGUACGGCGAGUGAAGCGGCAACAGCUCAAUUUGAAAUCUGGCUCUUUUAGAGUCCGAGUUGUAAUUUGCAGAGGGCGCUUUGGCUUUGGCAGCGGUCCAAGUUCCUUGGAACAGGACGUCACAGAGGGUGAGAAUCCCGUACGUGGUCGCUGGCUAUUGCCGUGUAAAGCCCCUUCGACGAGUCGAGUUGUUUGGGAAUGCAGCUCUAAAUGGGAGGUACAUUUCUUCUAAAGCUAAAUAUUGGCCAGAGACCGAUAGCGCACAAGUAGAGUGAUCGAAAGAUGAAAAGCACUUUGGAAAGAGAGUCAAACAGCACGUGAAAUUGUUGAAAGGGAAGCGCUUGCAGCCAGACUUGCUUACAGUUGCUCAUCCGGGUUUUUACCCGGUGCACUCUUCUGUAGGCAGGCCAGCAUCAGUUUGGGCGGUAGGAUAAAGGUCUCUGUCACGUACCUCCUUUCGGGGAGGCCUUAUAGGGGAGACGACAUACUACCAGCCUGGACUGAGGUCCGCGCAUCUGCUAGGAUGCUGGCGUAAUGGCUGUAAGCGGCCCGUCUUGAAACACGGACCAAGGAGUCUAACAUCUAUGCGAGUGUUUGGGUGUCAAGCCCGAGCGCGUAAUGAAAGUGAACGGAGGUGGGAACCCGCAAGGGUGCACCAUCGACCGAUCCUGAUGUCUUCGGAAGGAUUUGAGUAAGAGCAUGGCUGUUGGGACCCGAAAGAUGGUGAACUAUGCUUGAAUAGGGUGAAGCCAGAGGAAACUCUGGUGGAGGCUCGCAGCGGUUCUGACGUGCAAAUCGAUCGUCAAAUUUGGGCAUAGGGGCGAAAGACUAAUCGAACUA
rnacentral:rRNA from 1 species